rnacentral:lncRNA from 1 species
GGGCUGCAGGGCUGGGCAGGUGACAUCCCAUUACCCAGAGGCAGACCCUACCCUUCUUUGUAUGGGUUGGGGGCACCCGCCAUGGGCCCAGGAGGAGGCUUCCACCGCCAGCUGAGUGGGGUGGCCCAGCACAUUCCUCUGGGGCAGGGUGGAGGACAGGAGUCCUCAGUCCUGGGGGAAGAGGGGGUGGGUCCAAGGCCCCGGGCCCUGGGCUGGUCACCCUGGGGGGUCUGUGUCCAGGGUCAGGGAAUGUUGGUGAGAUCUCCGACCCCCGUCCUUUCAUCCUCUCUGUGCCCCAAGCUUGGUCUCCGACUCCAUCCGGAACCUUCCAUGGCUCUGUCGCUUCAGGAGGAAAUCCAGACUCCUGUCCUGUCUUAUCCCGAACCCGCCCUCGGCAGUGAUUCCUCCCCUGUCAGGCAGCUAAGGUGGCCCGACCCUGCUUGCAGAGUAUGUCCAAGCCCCUGUCUAGAACAACCCUGUGUUAUCAUAUCUGUCUACGCUGCGCUUGUCUCUGUUGUGCGUGGGGCGAAGGCUCUUGGGCUUGACGGAAACCCAGAGGAGCCGGUUGCAUCGAGAGCUGCUGUGACACCUGCAAUGCUGAGCUGUCUGCCUGUGAUAACCCAAGCGAGCAGCUCAGGGAUCAGGACCUGAGGUUUUCAGCACAAACGACAAGAGGUUCAAGUAGAAAAGCAGGUAAGAAGCCCGUUCUAUGGAGCUGGUAUUUCUCUUCUCUCUCUCUCUCUUUUUUUUUGGUGAGCAGUAGCAAGGUUUAUUGUGAAGAGCGAAAGAACAAAGCUUCCACAGUGUGGAAGGGGACCUGAGCGGGUUGCCCCUCUUUUCUUUUCUUUUCUUUCUUUUUUUUUUUGAGAUAGAGUCUUGCUCUGUCAGGCUGGAGUGCAGUGGCAUGACCUGGCGCUCACCACAAACCUUCGCC